rnacentral:rRNA from 1 species
ACGCUCGACACCUACGGGAGGCAGCAGUGGGGAAUAUUGCACAAUGGGGGAAACCCUGAUGCAGCGACGCCGCGUGGAGGAAGAAGGUCUUCGGAUUGUAAACUCCUGUUGUUGGGGAAAAAGAGGAUGGUACCCAACAAGGAAGUGACGGCUAAAUACGUGCCAACAGCCGCGGUAAUCUGAGCGGGCUGGCAAGGC